UCUGAGGUGAAAAUGCGCGAAUU
rnacentral:miRNA from 1 species